rnacentral:rRNA from 1 species
UACGUAGGUGGCAAGCGUUGUCCGGAUUUACUGGGCGUAAAGAGCGCGCAGGCGGUCGAUUUAGUCGCGUGUGAAAGCCCCCGGCUAACUGGGGAGGGUCACGCGAUACUGAUCGACUCGAAGGCAGGAGAGGGUAGUGGAAUUCCCGGUGUAGUGGUGAAAUGCGUAGAUAUCGGGAGGAACACCAGUGGCGAAGGCGACUACCUGGCCUGUUCUUGACGCUGAGGCGCGAAAGCUAGGGGAGCAAACGGG